rnacentral:misc_RNA from 1 species
GAUGAAGAACGUAGCGAAAUGCGAUAAGUAGUGUGAAUUGCAGAAUUCAGUGAAUCAUCGAAUCUUUGAACGCACGUUGCGCCCCUUGGUAUCCCGAGGGGCAUGCCUGUUCGAGCGUCAUUUCACCACUCAAGCCUGGCUUGGUGUUGGGCGACGUCCCCUUUGGGGACGCGCCUCGAAACGCUCGGCGGCGUGGCACCGGCUUUAAGCGUAGCAGAAUCUUUCGCUUUGGAAGUCGGGGCCCCGUCUGCCGGAAGACCUACUCGCAAGGUUGACCUCGGAUCAGGCAGGGAUACCCGCUGAACUUAAGCAUAUCAAUAAGCGGAGGA